GUACCUUUUGUAUAAUGGGUCAGCGACUUAUAUUCAGUAGCGAGGUUAACCGUAUAGGGGAGCCGUAGAGAAAUCGAGUCUUAAUAGGGCGUUUAGUUGCUGGGUAUAGACCCGAAACCAGGCGAUCUAUCCAUGAGCAGGUUGAAGGUUGGGUAACACUAACUGGAGGACCGAACCCACUGUCGUUGAAAAGCCAGGGGAUGACUUGUGGAUAGGGGUGAAAGGCUAAUCAAGCCUGGUGAUAGCUGGUUCUCCCCGAAAGCUAUUUAGGUAGCGCCUCGGACGAAUACCAUAGGGGGUAGAGCACUGUUUCGGCUAGGGGGUCAUCCCGACUUACCAAACCGAUGCAAACUCCGAAUACCUAUGAGUACUAUCCGGGAGACAGACUGCGGGUGCUAACGUCCGUAGUCAAGAGGAAAACAAUCCAGACCGCCAGCUAAGGCCCCAAAAUCAUAGUUAAGUGGGAAACGAUGUGGGAAGGCAUAGACAGCUAGGAGGUUGGCUUAGAAGCAGCCACCCUUUAAAGAAAGCGUAAUAGCUCACUAGUCGAGUCGGCCUGCGCGGAAGAUGUAACGGGGCUAAAACUAUGUGCCGAAGCUGCGGAUGUAUACUUUGUAUACGUGGUAGGGGAGCGUUCUGUAAGCCGAUGAAGGUGUGUUGAGAAGCAUGCUGGAGGUAUCAGAAGUGCGAAUGCUGACGUGAGUAACGACAAAACGGGUGAAAAACCCGUUCGCCGAAAGACCAAGGGUUCCAGUCCAACGUUAAUCGGGGCUGGGUGAGUCGACCCCUAAGGCGAGGCCGAAAGGCGUAGUCGAUGGGAAAAUGGUUAAUAUUCCAUUACUUCUGUGUAAUGCGAUGAGAGGACGGAGAAGGCUAAAUCAGCCUGGCGUUGGUUGUCCAGGUGAAAGGAUGUAGGCAUGUAUCUUAGGCAAAUCCGGGGUACUCUAUGCUGAGAUCUGAUAGCAAGCUGUACUUGUACAGCGAAGUGGUUGAUGCCAUGCUUCCAGGAAAAGUCUCUAAGCUUCAGUUACACAGGAAUCGUACCCGAAACCGACACAGGUGGUCAGGUCGAGUAGACCAAGGCGCUUGAGA
rnacentral:rRNA from 1 species